rnacentral:tRNA from 1 species
AAAAAUUUAGUUAAAAAAUAACACCAAUUUGUCAAAUUGGAAUUAAUAAUAAAUAUUAAUUUUUU